CUCGAAACCCGGCAGCUUUCAGCAGUUAAGAGUCUGCCUCGCGAUUCACCCCAGCCAGCAGUUUCAUUUCACCAAGAUGAGACCAUGUUUGCACUUUCAGAAAGGGAAAUAACAACGUUCACAAUUGCAGCAGCGUGAUUUGAAAGUUCCCCAUGUCUCUCACUCUGUUUCUGAAGAAGGUUUCUAACCUGAGUGGGAAGUAUGACCGCCAGGUUCAUAUCACAUUCCGAGGUUAUACACACUUGACUAGGAAAGUGAAAUGUGAAUAUGAAGCUGUCUUCAAUGAGGAAUUCCGUUGGCCUCAUUAUGGACGAGACAUUAUUGAAGAGAUGCUGGAGAUUCGAGUUUAUAACCACAGUAAACUCUUCAGCA